GACGAACGCUGGCGGCGUGCCUAACACAUGCAAGUCGAACGGAGUUAAGCUCUUCGGAACUUGACUUAGUGGCGAACGGGUGAGUAACGCGUGAGGAACCUGCCUUUCAGUGGGGGACAACAGUUGGAAACGACUGCUAAUACCGCAUGACACUUUUGGGAGACAUCUCCUGGAAGUCAAAGCUUUAUGUGCUGAAAGAUGGCCUCGCGUCUGAUUAGCUAGUUGGUGAGGUAACGGCUCACCAAGGCGACGAUCAGUAGCCGGUCUGAGAGGAUGAACGGCCACAUUGGGACUGAGAUACGGCCCAGACUCCUACGGGAGGCAGCAGUGGGGAAUAUUGGGCAAUGGGGGAAACCCUGACCCAGCAACGCCGCGUGAAGGAAGAAGGCCUUCGGGUUGUAAACUUCUUUUACCAGGGACGAAGG
rnacentral:rRNA from 1 species